rnacentral:rRNA from 1 species
AUUGAACGCUGGCGGCAGGCCUAACACAUGCAAGUCGAGCGAGCGGCGGACGGGUGAGUAGUAUAUGGGGACUGCCUGUUAGAGGGGGUUAACUACUGGAAACGGUGGCUAAUACCGCAUACUAUCGGAUAACCCAUAUGGGAUUAGCUAGUAGGUGGGGUAAAGGCUCACCUAGGCGCCGAUCUCUAGCUGGUCUGAGAGGAUGAUCAUCCACACUGGGACUGAGACACGGCCCAGACUCCUACGGAGGCAGCAGUGGGGAAUAUUGCACAAUGUGCGCAAGCCUGAUGCAGCCAUGCCCCGUGAAUGAAGAAGGCUUUAGGGUUGUAAAGUACUUUCAGCGAUGAGGCGUUACCCGCCCAAGAAGCACCGGCUAACUCCAUGCCAGCAGCCGCGGUAAUUC